rnacentral:rRNA from 1 species
CACGAAGUUGGCCGGAACUUCCUCUAGAGGUACCGUCAAGCCAAAGGGCUAUUUGCCCCUUGACCUUUCGUCCCUCUCGACAGGGGUUUACGAUCCGAGAACCUUCAUCCCCCACGCGGCGUUGCUGCGUCAGCCUUGCGGCCAUUGCGCAAUAUUCCCUA